CAACAAUGAAGGAGAGUUCCUGUUUCUCCACAUCCUUGUCGGCAUUUCGUGCUGUACGUGUUCUGGAUUUGGGCCAUUCUAAUAGGUGUGUACUGGUAUCCCAUUAAUGUCUUAAUUUGCGUUUCCCUAAGGAUAUAUGAUGUGGGGCAUCUUUUCAUAUGCUUAUUUGCCAUUGGUAUAUCCUCUUUGGUGAGGCGUCUGUUCAAGUCUUUUAACCAUCAGAUUGUUUAAUUUUUUAUCGUUGAGUUUUAAGUGUUCUUUGUAUAUUUUGGAUAACAGUCCUCUUUCAGAUAUGUCUUUUGCAAAUAUUUUCUCCCAGUCUGUGGCUUGUCUUCUCAUUCUCUUGCGAGGGUCAGUCGGGGCUCUAAGACAGACGUGGCACUAAGGGCUCGCGAAAGCCUGUCUUAACGUGUGGACUUGGAACACAGUCUUCUGGCCCAGCCACGUCUGGGCCUUGCUGCUGCUGAAGAAAAGCCACUGGCUUUUCUGGAUUCCUGAACUCACAGAUCCUGAUUGCCUGGACUGACUCUAAGCCCAAACCUGAUCCUGUCCGCCCCAGGCUGAUUCACUCUCAGCGUGCACUGUGCUCAGUGGAAAGCAGGCAUAUGCUCAGUGAACAGGACUUUGGCUCUGGGAUGUCGGCAGAUUGAGGACACCCUCUGUGGGACCAUAAACUGUGAAAACAUCAUGGAUGCUGGCGCGACCAUCUGGGUCACAUAAAAACGCCCACAGGAAGAGGCUUCUUUGAUGGAACUCUCUGAAAUCAAGCUACUGUUCAGCUCUAUGUUUCUGAGGCAGAUGCUAAUUUCUGACGUUUUCUAACUCAUGAUUCCUGCCGAAAGCUGCAAGUUAGGGGAGGGCGCAUCACAGACGGUGACCCCUCUGGUCACUCCUAAUAGACGGACUCUUGACCCCCUUGGGCAGCUGUCCUCAGAAAUGUACUGAUCUGCUCCAGGCUGCUCAUUGGAUAAAUGAUCAGGACAAAAGGAAGGGGUCGGGGGUUGUAAAAAUUAUUCUAAAAGUUCAAGAUUUCAUCCUGACCAGUUCCUGGAUAUGAUGUGUCUUUCAGGAAAGGCCAGAUUUCUUUGCAAGAGAUCCGAGAUUCAUACACUGCUUUUCAGAUUGUCUUCUCAUAAGCCAGCAGCCCUCUGGCAACCCACAGACUCCCGGUCCCCCAGGUGGCCAGCUUGACAAAAGCCACCGGCUCCCUUUCUUCCUAAGUCCGGGUCUUCAAAGGACAUCCAGGUUGCAGCCUCGAGAUCCGGCACAAACUGCCUCAGAGAAAACCAUGCCCAGCGCUCGCCUGGAGGUAUUAUCUGUGUGGGCGUGACCAUGGUUUGCAGAGUCCCCGCAGUGUGCUGGCACCGAGAGGACCCCGCGGUCCUCAGUUCUCUGAUUCAGCCGGGCCGCUCCUGCGGAGGCGGGCCAGCAUCACAAAAUGAUGGCAGGAGGAGUUCGUGAAGGGGCCAACACCUCACUGAGUGGAUUUGUAAGAUCCAACAUACACAAAGACUCAGGAAUCCUCCCCAGGAAAGGGGGCAUCCGAGGGGAACUGGGAUUCUUGCACUCCUAAGGGGGUCAGCCCAGGAUGGUGGCCACGGGCUCCCGGCCCGAUCCGGCUCCUCCCUCUCCUGUGUUGUCUUCGCCUGUAUCUUUGGGAUGGUGAUGGGAGCUUGCAGGGAGCUUCGAUGAGACAGCGGGCCUGGAUCCCUAAGCCCAGCACCGGGCACAUAAGAUUUGAGAGCUAAUAAUGAUGGAACAUUACUGUGUGACAACUAUUAGGAUCAUGACUACUCGUAUUAUAAAAGAUCUAUGGUUUGUGAUAGGCUGAAUAAUGGCCCCCAAAAUUAUCUAGGUCCUAAUGCCUGGAACUUGGGGAUGUUACCUUAUACGGCAAAAGGGCCUUCACAGGGUCUUGAGAUGGGGACACCAGCCCGGAUUAUCCAGGUGGCCCUACAUGUAAUCACGAGUCCUUACAAGGGACGCAGAGGGAGCCUCAGCUGCAGAACAGGAGCGGGCAAUACGACGAGGGCGGCAGAGACUGGAGCGAUGCAGCCACAAGCCAAGGAGAGCCGGCCGCCCCAGAGGCCGGAGCGGAUUCUCCCUGGAGCCUCAGAAGGAAGGCGGCCCUGCCGACGCCCUGCCUCCUCGCCCGGUGAAGCUGAAUUUGGACUUCUGACCUCCAGAACCGCAUAGAAGAAACAUGUGUUGUUUUAAAGCAUCGAGUUUGUGGCAGUUUGUCCUGGCAGCCAUGGAGGAUCCGGGGAGAGGACGUUGGGACAUUUACACGGGGCUGAGGGAGGGAGAGAGUGGGCACACGAUACUUGGUCCCAAUCGCCAACUCCAGCGCCAACUAACCACAGCACCGAUGUUAGUGCGCACGGUGCCCCCGGCAGAGCGGAGAACCCAGCCCGGGCCUGCAGGCAGGGCUCUCUCCGGGCGGGGCGUGCGCUGAGAAUAUUUUCUCGAUGCUUCCUCUGCGUGUGUACCUACAGAUCCGAG
rnacentral:lncRNA from 1 species